AAAGUUCUAAGGUGUUCGCGCUUCCUUAACUAUCAGUUGACCGAACAGUAUCGAGACCUUGGGACCGGAAGAGUCUUGGACGGUGCUGCUAUUUCACUUAGCGGCUAAUGUCUCUGGCGUCUGGGCCCACAUAGCUAGUAGCGGGUUUCAACGAUCCGGGAAGAAAACGGCACCAAUUAGCCUUUCA
rnacentral:sRNA from 1 species